rnacentral:lncRNA from 1 species
GGAGGGACUGCUGCGCGAGGACUGGGCCGCCUGGUGUACGGACUGUAUCAGCACAUGAAUGGGAGCAGAUUCGCCUGGAAAAUUGCAUGUGUCUGUAUGACUGGAGCGCUCAGUGUUCACUUUCUAAGUGAAAUCUGACACUAGAGAGGGUUAGGGGUGUACGGACUGUAUCAGCACGUGAAUGGGAGCAGAUUCGCCUGGAAAAUUGCAUGUAGAGAGAGGGUUAAGCUUUCCCAAGCGCUGAAUCAUCAUUGUCUUAUGGAGAAGAAAACAAAUGAUAACAAUAUACUGCAUUGUUGAUGACGAUCCAAUGUACAAGAACUGCUGUGGAGAAUCCGGAUGAGGAAAUG